GAAUUUUGCGCAAUGGCCGCAAGGCUGACGCAGCAACGCCGCGUGAGUGAAGAAGGCCUUCGGGUUGUAAAGCUCUGUUGCCCGUGAAGAAACCUGACUUCAGGAAAUGGGAGUCAGCUGACGGUAGCGGGAGAGGAAGCCCCGGCUAACUACGUGCCAGCAGCCGCGGUAAUACGUAGGGGGCGAGCGUUGUCCGGAUUUAUUGGGCGUAAAGGGCGUGUAGGCGGCCGUGUAAGUCAGGAGUGAAAACCCAGGGCUCAACCCUGGGACUGCUUCUGAAACUGCGUGGCUUGAGUGCUCUAGAGGGCAGUGGAAUUCCCGGUGUAGCAGUGAAAUGCGUAGAGAUCGGGAGGAACACCAGUGGCGAAGGCGACUGCCUGGGGAGUAACUGACGCUGAGGCGCGAAAGCUGGGGGAGCAAAC
rnacentral:rRNA from 1 species